rnacentral:rRNA from 1 species
GAUGAACGCUAGCGGCAGGCCUAAUACAUGCAAGUCGAACGGUGUAGCAAUACACAGUGGCGCACGGGUGCGUGACACGUAUGCAACCUACCUUACAUUGGGGGAUAGCUUUUCGAAAGGGAGAUUAAUACCGCAUAAGACAGUAACUAGGCAUCUAGUAGCUGUUAAAGAUUUAUCGAUGUAAGCUGGGCAUGCGUCCAAUUAGUUAGUUGGCGAGGUAAUGGCUCACCAAGACGAUGAUUGGUAGGGGAACUGAGAGGUCAAUCCCCCACACUGGCACUGAGAUACGGGCCAGACUCCUACGGGAGGCAGCAGUAGGGAAUAUUGGGCAAUGGGCGCAAGCCUGACCCGGCCAUGCCGCGUGCAGGAAGAAGGCGUUAUGCGUUGUAAACUGCUUUUAUACAGGAAGAAACGACCCUUGCGAGGGGCAUUGACGGUACUGUAUGAAUAAGCACCGGCUAACUCCGUGCCAGCAGCCGCAGUAACAC